UGUCUUUUUUGUGAUGGUCCCCAUGGUGACAAUUUGUGAUGGCAAAGAAUGUGGGAACGGGGCGCUGCCGCCUGAUUGGGAUGCUUUGUAUCUGGAGAGGCGCUCCUGAUUGGCCUGAGGGGCCCCCCAGCUCCCGGGACUCGGUCUCCAUUCAACCCACUCGAGGGCUGCACAACCGCUUGCAGCCGGACGCACGGAGCUCGCCGGCCGCGCCGGGCCGGGCCCAGGUCCGCCCUGUGCCCUUCUCUGGAGCUGCCAGCCCCCCGCAGAACCCACCCUCUUCAUGGAAAGCUCCGUGCAGAGGCCCCCUGGUGAUGGCAUCCGACAGUGACGUGAAGAUGCUGCUGAACUUUGUGAACCUGGCGUCCAGCGACAUCAAGGCGGCCCUGGACAAGUCGGCGCCCUGCCGCCGCUCUGUGGACCACCGCAAGUACCUGCAGAAGCAGCUCAAACGCUUCUCCCAGAAGUAUUCCCGGCUCCCCCGGGGCCUCCCCGGCAGAGGAGCCGAGCCUCACCUGAAAAGGGGGCCUGAGGACCGGCCCGGGAGGCUGCCCCUGGGUGCUGGCCAGGAUUCCAGCCCUGGCGGGGGUGGGGGCUGCACGGAGAAGGCUCUGGGGAACCCCUACAGGGAGGAAUGUCUCUCCAAGGAGCAGACCCUACAGGGGCAGAAUCCAGAAGCUGCCAGGCCUGGCCAGGUGCCCAUGAGGAAAAGACAGCUGCCUGCUUCCUUCUGGGAAGAGCCGCGGCCCACCCACAGCUACCCCCUGGGGCUGGAGGGGGGACUGGGCCCCAGGGAGGGACCUCCCUAUGAGGGUAAGAAACACUGCAAGGGCUUGGAGCCCGUGGGGCCCGAGACGGCCCCCGUGCCCGCAUCCCCAAGGGCACCCGCUGAGAAGGAGCCACUCAAGAUGCCUGGGGUCUCCCUGGUGGGCCGUGUCAAUGCCUGGAGCUGCUGCCCCUUCCAGUACCAUGGACAGCCCAUCUACCCGGGCCCUCCAGGGGCCUUGCCUCAGAGCCCGGUCCCCAGCCUGGGCCUCUGGAGGAAAAGCCCAGCUUCCCCAGGGGAGCUGGCCCACUUCUGCAAGGAUGUGGAUGGCCCAGGGCAGAAAGUGUACAGACCCGUGGUCCUGAAGCCUAUCCCCACCAAGCCGGCCGUGCCCCCACCCAUCUUCAACGUCUUUGGCUACCUCUAGCCCGGCCAGGAGGGCCUCGGCCCCCACCUCCAGCCUGCAGGGGUGUCGGGGACCCCAGGAGCUCUCCGUGUGAGAGGUGGGCUGGGCGGCAGUGUAGCCUCUUGGGAGCCUUCCCUUUGUGCAUGUGUGGGAGGGGGAGGGCAGGCCUGGGGCAGGGGCUUCUCAGGCAGUCUCCGAGUCAGCCCUUGCAGCCUUGGGAGCUAUGGGGAAGGCGUGGUCGGCCCCUCCCCAACCAGGCCAGGGCCCGACAGAUCGUCCCGCCAUCCCUGCGCAGACUUGGGACGAUGGGGCUUUGCCCUUGCCUGCCGGCCACCCCAGAAGCCAGAGUUACACAUCUGUUCAUCUGCCACCCACUGUUUUCCACAUUUCCGGUGUCAGGAAGUGGAGUGGUCCCCAGGCCUAAGCAAUGCUGGCUGUGUCCAGGUGGAGGGCCACUUAUGGAGGUGACUGAUUGUGGGGGAGACCAGGAGUGGCCAACAGACCUAUGAGACGUCUGGGAAUGGGCUCUGGGGGCCAAGAGCUCAAGUCAAAGGAAGGAGAGUGAGCGCGAGCCGCCAGGGAAGGAUGCUCUGGUUGCCUGCGUCAGAGGACAGAGGCUGGGGGGGCCUGGAUCCCUGGGGUGUCCAACCUGCUCUGGACAACAGGGAGGCUGGGACCCGGGGAGGCGGAGCUGUGGUCCUGGCUCUGCCCUGGGAUGUGUGACUGGACCCUUCCUCUUGGAGCCUCCUUGUCCCACCUGCAGGAUGAGGGGCGGGAUGAGAAUGGUCCCUCUGCCGUGCCUUCCACUCUGAUUACGGCUGUGCCAAGGCGGGCAUGCCCGACCCUGGUCAGAGGGGCAAUCAGGCCCAACAGGAGCUGAGCCCCUAGUGGACGAAAUAACCGGUCAUUGGAGCAAACUGUUUUUCUUUCAAACAUCAUCUUUGGUUCUAUGUCCAGGGGCAAAACAAAAAAAAAGGAGCAAUAAUCUCUAGCUAAUUCGGAUUCCCAGGGUCCCUGCUGACAGCUCUCUUCCAGGGCCUGGUGCAGUGCCCACACAUGAGGUGCCCUGUCAGUAGAAAGACGAGGGCCUCUGUCUGUGACAGCGCACAGAGGGGGCGCUGGAGGCAGGGAGAGGUCCUGGGUUUGCCCCAAUAAUGCCCAGCUAGCAAAGCCACUGCAGGGGCCUCCGCCCGCACACUGGCCCAGGACCUGCUCUGCUGUGUGCAGUGUGGCUCCAUGGCCGAGAGCGCAUGCACCUGCCAGGGGUACUGAGCCGCUCACGUCAUCAAAGCACGGUUCUCACAACCGGGACUCGUGCAGGGGGCAGCCCUGGCUGGGGCCAUGGUACCCUAAUCAGCAGCAUGAUGUUGAACAAGUUAAUCCCCACUCUGUGCCUCAGUGUCCUCCUCUGUAGAGUCGGGGACUAGAUCAAGGAUAGAGGCGUGCACCACUUCCGCACCCAAGGCAGGUACCAUCGCCUGGUCACAGACUCUCCUUUAGGGCCCAAAUACGGCCUCGGAAUCCUUCCUAACACAAGGCUCCAGAAUUAGUGAUUGCUAAGGGCCCGUCCUAACCUGCCUGCUUUUACUCUGCGCGUUCUCUGGAGUGGGGCAUCCACACGGAGGGGCAGUUCAUGCUCUGGGAAGUGAGUGAGUUUCUGUUGGUUUAUGUCUGAUGGUCUCGGAGGACUUCAGUGCCACGAAGGCCACUUGACACAGGCAGAGUUGUUCUGAGUAAUUAUGCGGCACACUGGAUAAAGGAGUCCUCAGCCAGGACCCACACCUCAGGCUGCUCUGGUCUUAGUGAGCAGGAAGGGGACCAGCAGGUGAUGUGUGCCCUCCUCUCCCUCUGCACAUCAUCACGAAGGCCCUUCUGGAUCCGUUCUGAUGAGGCUCAGCCCCUCCACACUGUACAGCAUAGUGUUGAAAGCCCUAAUCCAGGCCCUGCCCCCUACCAGCUGUGUGAUCUUGGGCAAGUUACCUAACCUCUCUGUGCCGAAGUUUCCUCAUCUGAAAAACGUGAUUGAAAAUAGACCUGCCGCGUGGGUAGCUGUGGCAAAGACGUGAGUGCCUGGCUCUCCAGUACCACACAAGUGGCGAAAAGCAGCAUUGAGCAAAAGUCACUUCUCCCAGGUGUCUGGUGACUGUAGGUCCUGCCACACCAGUAUUUCAGUGUUGGUUAUGAAUGGGGCUGCCCACAGGAACGGGCACCCAGGCCAUCCACCCACUGGCUCUCCCUGGAGCAGGAGUAGAGCUCCGCCAGGCAUGUUUUCUCAGGGUGCUGCCCUCUCGGGCGUUGCCUUUCCUGGGGGACCCCCGGCGAUGCCUUCACUCAAACGCAGAGGCAAGGAGGCUUCGUCUGGAAGCAGAAAGCUUCACUGGGAUGUGGCUCAGCGGAAGCAGAGGGCAUCAUGGUUCCCCGCGUGGAAACAGUAAGUUGGGGGAAAACCCAUCUAAGAAAGCUUCAGUAUUGAAAAAAAAAAAUAGUCCACCACAGCAGGAGCCGCAGCAGCAGCAGAUGCUCGCCUGACCAGACGGUGACUCGUGUGGGUUCACGGUGAAGCCAGGAGCUCCCCUCCUGCCCCAGCCUCCAGUCCCCAGCACUGGCCAGACGCCCCUCUCUGAGGAUCUUAAGGCUUUGGUGAUGCUGUGAGACACCUCUGAGGCUGACGUCCUCCCAGAGGCUGGGUAAGCAGGGGUGGGGGCAGCCUCUGCAGGGGGUGACGGCUGUCAAGUCCUCUUGACAGCGGUGAUGGUCAAAAAACGUAACCACCUGCCCGGCCUGAGCACCGACCAAUCAGAACGGAGCCUCGGGAGCAAGCAAGCAUUUACCCUUGAGCGGUUGGGGGCGGGAAGGGGGGACAGGGACCUGAGAAAGCCAAGGCUGGGCAAGGCUCUUGGUGGGGAGCGGCCCUGAGCAGCAGCUGUGACCAACUGGCAGGGAUGUCCAUCAAUAUUCUAAUACAGCACCGGCGCAUUCCAGGCCCAGGGGCCCCACAUCCCACCAAUAAAUGGUGCUGAUGCUGAAUGCAGUGACGGAGGCCUCCUUCCCCACACCCCCCACCUCCCUCCUCAGCCUCACCUCCUCCAGGGGGGCAGCUCCCUCAGCCCAGCAUCCCCACCAUGCCCAGUGCCUGAGGCCACUGCCUGUUAGGACUCUCUUGGACAUUAGGUGACCUGAGCAGUGCUGUAGUUUGAGUUUGCCUGAUACCCAGCCACACUCCAAAUGCACUGAACGUCUUUCUGCCCGGUCCCAUCCCUUCCUGCCACCCCCAGCCAAGAUUAAAGCCUCUUCCCCUGGCUGCCAGGGCAGCACAGGCAUUUUUCAGGCAGGGUUUUCCCCACUUGGCCACUUCCCCUGAGGUCCCCUCCCCUCGCUGCACUGGGUUGAACAUCCCCAGUCUGGGAGGACACAGGUUUCCUUCAGGAUCUCUACAGCAAGGCAGCGUGGGACCCUGGGCAAGCACUGUCGGGCUGAAACCCUGGGGACCUGCUGUGUGUGCCCAAGCCAAGUGCCUUUCCCUCUCUGGGGCUGCUUUCCCAACUGUACCUGGAGGGAGUGGGCAAGGUCAGCCGAGUCCCCUCUGACCCAUGGUUGGAAAGUGCUGCUGGUGGCCUCUUCCUCUUCAGGCCCAUACUGGGACUUACUGGUUCCAUGGAAACCCAGUGUCAGAGCCGGCAAGACUACCAGGGGCCAUGACAAAAAGGAACCCAAGGCCCCAGAGGAGCGAGCCUGGCAUCAGCGCUCCCCCACUGGCCCGGAUGCUCACUUUCCAAAGGCCAGAAAUGACAUUCGCCCUUGCUUAAGGCUCUUCUGGACUCUGGGCAGGGGCCCGGCAAGGGCUCCUGGCGAGAUGGCCUGGCCUGGAGGCCUGCAGAGGGGCCUACACUCCAGUGCCUUUCAUCGGCCUUUCGGAGAGAGCGCCGCAGCUUCUGCGGAGGCAGGCCGUGCCCGUCUCAGCGCACAGGACUCAGAACACGAGAAAGCGCUACGACUGUGCUGAGCCUCAGCUCUCUCAGCUAUGCCCCAAAAACAGGCCGGCAGCGUCCCCUGGCUCCACCACAGAGCCACGUGAGGACCAGAGGAGGCAAGGCAGGGCACAGGGCUUCAUGCCUCUGAAGUCUGGUGCCUUUGCAAGGGUUGAUGGCGGCCAUCACUCCAGCACCCUCGCUCAGAGUAGCCAGUACGUAGAUUUGUUUUUUCCCCUAGUAUUUCAACUUUUGUAGCAAAACAGGGGUGAGUACGACGUGAAGACAGAGUGCCAGGGGAGACGUGUGUGUAAGACAGACAUCCUAGGUGUUGGGAGACUUGUAAGCACAGAGAGCCUGUCUGUGAUGAUGCUCCUGUUUCCAUGGUGAGUGAACCUGGACAGAACAACUACCCUCGGGGGCUCCCAUCACAAGGCAGAACCCUGCCGCCUCUCCUCGGCCAUCAGGUCUCUUCCGGUGAAUGAAGGACACACUCAGAAGCCCAAACCGAGGUGACAGGCUCAGGGGUCUGUGUGCCCUGUCCCCAGCCCCUGCCCCACCCUCACUCCCACCAAGUGCAG